rnacentral:rRNA from 1 species
AUUGAACGCUGGCGGCAUGCCUUACACAUGCAAGUCGAACGGCAGCGGGGACUUCGGUCCGCCGGCGAGUGGCGAACGGGUGAGUAAUGCAUCGGAACGUACCCGGAAGUGGGGGAUAACGUAGCGAAAGUUACGCUAAUACCGCAUAUUCUGUGAGCAGGAAAGAGGGGGAUCUUUGGACCUCUUGCUUUCGGAGCGGCCAAUGUCAGAUUAGCUAGUUGGUGAGGUAAAGGCUCACCAAGGCGACGAUCUGUAGCGGGUCUGAGAGGAUGAGCCGCCACACUGGAACUGAGACACGGUCCAGACUCCUACGGGAGGCAGCAGUGGGGAAUUUUGGACAAUGGGCGCAAGCCUGAUCCAGCCAUGCCGCGUGAGUGAAGAAGGCCUUCGGGUUGUAAAGCUCUUUCGGCCGGGAAGAAAUCGCAUGGAUUAAUACUCUGUGCGGAUGACGGUACCGGCAUAAGAAGCACCGGCUAACUACGUGCCAGCAGCCGCGGUAAAAC